rnacentral:misc_RNA from 1 species
GAUGAAGAACGCAGCAAAAUGCGAUAAGUAAUGUGAGUUGCAGAAUUCAGUGAAUCAUCGAAUCUUUGAACGCACAUUGCGCCCGCCAGUAUUCUGGCGGGCAUGCCUGUUCGAGCGUCAUUUCAACCCUCAAGCUCAGCUUGGUGUUGGGACUCGCGGUAACCCGCGUUCCCCAAAUCGAUUGGCGGUCACGUCGAGCUUCCAUAGCGUAGUAAUCAUACACCUCGUUACUGGUAAUCGUCGCGGCCACGCCGUAAAACCCCAACUUCUGAAUGUUGACCUCGGAUCAGGUAGGAAUACCCGCUGAACUUAAGCAUAUCAAUAAGCGGAGGA